rnacentral:rRNA from 1 species
GACGAACCGUGCGAACGUUAUUCGGAAUCACUGGGCUUAAAGCGCGUGUAGGCGGGGCGGCACGUCGGUCGCUGAAAUCCCCCGGCUUAACCGGGGAACGGGCGCCGAUACGACCGUCCUGGAGGAACGUAGGGGGAGCUGGAACUUCCGGUGGAGCGGUGAAAUGCGUUGAGAUCGGAAGGAACGCCCGUGGCGAAAGCGAGCUCCUGGACGUUUUCUGACGCUGAGACGCGAAAGCCAGGGGAGCGAACGGG